UACGUAGGGUGCGAGCGUUGUCCGGAAUUACUGGGCGUAAAGAGCUCGUAGGUGGUUUGUCGCGUUGUCCGUGAAAACUCACAGCUUAACUGUGGGCGUGCGGGCGAUACGGGCAGACUGGAGUACUGCAGGGGAGACUGGAAUUCCUGGUGUAGCGGUGGAAUGCGCAGAUAUCAGGAGGAACACCGGUGGCGAAGGCGGGUCGCUGGGCAGUAACUGACGCUGAGGAGCGAAAGCGUGGGGAGCGAACAGG
rnacentral:rRNA from 1 species